CCUGCGUGGAGGACUGGGCACUGAACAGCACAGGCCCGAGCCCAUCCUUGUCCACGUGAGCUUAUGGCCUGAUGUAGAGACCACCAGGGGCUCCAGGAAAGUUAAGCUGCAUGGAGAGAAACGAUGGGCCAGGGCCGGGCCCAGGGUGGUUUAGGGAAUGGCAGUGUCCUGGGUAGAAUAGGAAGGCCUGAGACUGUGACUGAGCUGACAGUGGGGCAAAGUGAAGGAGCCCAGUAUUGGAAGAUCGGCUCCACAUGUAUCUCUGCGAGGAGACUGCAAGCGAGCUCGUGUGGACCAGGCAGAGGCGAGGGCUGAGUGAGGCCAGCAGUGGCCUGGGCACAGGAAGACGGACAUUUCAUAUAUAUGGAUUUCACAGCUACACUCGAUCCACGCCCCACACCACAUACAGGCUGCUGUCUCCCACAAGAAUGAUGAUGUCAGGGGCAUCAGGAAAGCAGGAGGGGAGAGCUCUGCUCCACACGCUGGCGGCCUUGGCUGCUCCAGAGCAAUCCGCUGCUCCAGCUUCAGCCAUGGGACCAAGAGGGUAAAGGAGCAGCUUCUGGAGGCCCCAGGCAGAGGCCACCUUGCAGCAGUGACUGGCGACUUUGCAGUACAUCUCUGCUCACUUGCUGUCCCUUGGGAGUGAGCACCGUCUAUAACACAUCGCCAUCUACAAAAGCCUGGUCACAGUGUUCACCAGCACAUUCAUGAAAAUUUAAAUCAACAUUAACCAAAGUACCUGCAAGUAACACUGCUUACUCUUGCUGUUUGCCUCAUCUGACUGGAAACCU
rnacentral:lncRNA from 1 species